UGUUCAUGUCCUCAUCGUCUUGAUAAAAACCAGGACUUGAGGUUCUUUGAGGCGAAGAAGAGAAGGGUUACUGAUAUUCUAGAACUCAAUUAACAGUUCCAUUUCGUGUGGAUGAGUUGACCUUUCCAGGACCGUCACGCUCGUCAGAUCCCUGGCCUCCUCCGGCGACUACCCUCUUCCCAUUGGCGACCAGUGGGGGCCGAGCUUCGUCACAUAACGCCAGCGGCUGUUCUCCAUGGAAGCCAGAAAUAAAUGGAAUAAAUGAAC
rnacentral:lncRNA from 1 species